UACGUAGGUGGCAAGCGUUAUCCGGAAUUAUUGGGCGUAAAGCGCGCGCAGGUGGUUUCUUAAGUCUGAUGUGAAAGCCCACGGCUCAACCGUGGAGGGUCAUUGGGAACUGGGAGACUUGAGUGCAGAAGAGGAAAGUGGAAUUCCAUGUGUAGCGGUGAAAUGCGUAGAGAUAUGGAGGAACACCAGUGGCGAAGGCGACGUCCUGGUCUGUAACUGACACUGAGGCGCGAAAGCGUGGGGAGCAAACAGG
rnacentral:rRNA from 1 species